UGCGUAACGCGUGGGAAUCUGCCCUUGGGUUCGGAAUAACAGCGAGAAAUCGCUGCUAAUACCGGAUGAUGUCUUCGGACCAAAGAUUUAUCGCCCAGGGAUGAGCCCGCGUAGGAUUAGCUAGUUGGUGGGGUAAAGGCCUACCAAGGCGACGAUCCUUAGCUGGUCUGAGAGGAUGAUCAGCCACACUGGGACUGAGACACGGCCCAGACUCCUACGGGAGGCAGCAGUGGGGAAUAUGGACAAUGGGCGCAAGCCUGAUCCAGCA
rnacentral:rRNA from 1 species